CGGGAGGCAGCAGUAGGGAAUCUUCGGCAAUGGACGAAAGUCUGACCGAGCAACGCCGCGUGAGUGAAGAAGGUUUUCGGAUCGUAAAACUCUGUUGUUAGAGAAGAACAAGGAUGAGAGUAACUGUUCAUCCCUUGACGGUAUCUAACCAGAAAGCCACGGCUAACUACGUGCCAGCAGCCGCGGUAAUACGUAGGUGGCAAGCGUUGUCCGGAUUUAUUGGGCGUAAAGCGAGCGCAGGCGGUUUCUUAAGUCUGAUGUGAAAGCCCCCGGCUCAACCGGGGAGGGUCAUUGGAAACUGGGAGACUUGAGUGCAGAAGAGGAGAGUGGAAUUCCAUGUGUAGCGGUGAAAUGCGUAGAUAUAUGGAGGAACACCAGUGGCGAAGGCGGCUCUCUGGUCUGUAACUGACGCUGAGGCUCGAAAGCGUGGGGAGCAAACAGGAUUAGAUACCCUGGUAGUCCACGCCGUAAACGAUGAGUGCUAAGUGUUGGAGGGUUUCCGCCCUUCAGUGCUGCAGCUAACGCAUUAAGCACUCCGCCUGGGGAGUACGACCGCAAGGUUGAAACUCAAAGGAAUUGAC
rnacentral:rRNA from 1 species